rnacentral:rRNA from 1 species
GACGAACGCUGGCGGCGUGCUUAACACAUGCAAGUCGAACGGUGAAGCGCCGUCCUUUUUGGUUGGUGUGGUUGCGAGGCGAACGGGUGAGUAACACGUGAGUAACCUGCCCCCUUCUACUGGAUAACCGCAUGAAAGUGUGGAUAAUACGGGAUAUUCUGGGUCAGUCGCAUGAUGGGUCUGGGAAAGCUGUUGUUUCGGUGGGGGAUGGGCUCGCGGCCUAUCAGCUUGUUGGUGGGGUGAUGGCCUACGAAGGCGGUGACGUGUGGCCGGCCUGAGAGGGUGGACGGUCACACUGGGAGUGCGGCACGGCCCAGACUCAUACGGGGCGCAGCAGUGGGGGAGAUUGCACAGUGGGGGAAAGUGUGAUGCAGCGACGCCGCGGGAGGGAUGGAGGCGUUCGGGUUGUGACCCCCUUUCGCUAGUGAAGCAGGCCUGCCUCGUGUGUGGGUGGGUUGACGGUAGCUGGAUAAGAAGCGCCGGCUAACUACGUG